rnacentral:misc_RNA from 1 species
UGUGCGAACUUGUUCGCUCUCCUGAAAUACAUUGGUGCGGCCCGCCGCCCGGUUACACAACGUUCUAGGUUCGUCCAACUCGUUGCUGAUACUGGUUGCAAUCUUGGUUGCUGCACCUAAAGCCCGCCCUGUGCCUCGUUGCUCUUGGCUAAACCUUAUUUAUUGACCUCAGAUCAGGUAGGAAUACGCGCUGAACUUAA